UAGGGAAUCUUCCACAAUGGACGAAAGUCUGAUGGAGCAACGCCGCGUGAGUGAAGAAGGGUUUCGGCUCGUAAAACUCUGUUGUUAAAGGAGAACAUAUCUGAGAGUAACUGUUCAGGUAUUGACGGUUAUUUAACCAGAAAGCCACGGCUAACUACGUGCCAC
rnacentral:rRNA from 1 species